GACGAACGCUGGCGGCGUGCCUAAUACAUGCAAGUCGAGCGGAUGAUGAAGAAGCUUGCUUCUUCUGAUUUAGCGGCGGACGGGUGAGUAACACGUGGGCAACCUGCCCUGUAGAUUGGGAUAACUCCGGGAAACCGGGGCUAAUACCGAAUAAUCCACUUCCUCACAUGGGGAAAUGUUAAAAGACGGUCUCGGCUGUCACUACAGGAUGGGCCCGCGGCGCAUUAGCUAGUUGGUGAGGUAACGGCUCACCAAGGCGACGAUGCGUAGCCGACCUGAGAGGGUGAUCGGCCACACGGGGACUGAGACACGGCCCAGACUCCUACGGGAGGCAGCAGUAGGGAAUCUUCCACAAUGGACGAAAGUCUGAUGGAGCAACGCCGCGUGAGUGAAGAAGGUUUUCGGAUCGUAAAACUCUGUUGUGAGGGAAGAACAAGUACGAGAGUAACUGCUCGUACCUUGACGGUACCUCAUUAGAAAGCCACGGCUAACUACGUGCCAGCCGCCGCGGUAAUAC
rnacentral:rRNA from 1 species